UACGGAGGGUGCAAGCGUUAUCCGGAUUCACUGGGUUUAAAGGGAGCGUAGGUGGGUUGGUAAGUCAGUGGUGAAAUCCCCGAGCUUAACUUGGGAACUGCCAUUGAUACUAUCAGUCUUGAAUACUGUGGAGGCUAGCGGAAUAUGUCAUGUAGCGGUGAAAUGCUUAGAUAUGAACAUAGAACACCAAUUGCGAAGGCAGCUGGCUACACAAUUAUUGACACUGAGGCUCGAAAGCAUGGGGAUCAAACAGG
rnacentral:rRNA from 1 species